rnacentral:misc_RNA from 1 species
UCUCCGUUGGUGAACCAGCGGAGGGAUCAUUACUGGAAUCGCAAGAUCCCACAACCCUGUGAACCUACCGAAACGUUGCCUCGGCGGGUGCCCGGCCUCUGCGCCGGGCGCUGCGCCCGCCGGCGGCCCCCUACUCCGUCUCUGCAGCGUGGCAUCUCAGAGUCCCAGAAAACAAGUCAAAACUUUCAACAACGGAUCUCUUGGCUCUA